GACGAACGCUGGCGGCGUGCUUAACACAUGCAAGUCGAGCGGAAAGGCCACUUCGGUGGUACUCGAGCGGCGAACGGGUGAGUAACACGUGAGUAAUCUGCCCCUCACUUUGGGAUAGCCCCGGGAAACUGGGAUUAAUACCGGAUAUGAUCACCGGCCGCAUGGUCUGGUGGUGGAAAGUUUUUCGGUGGGGGAUGUGCUCGCGGCCUAUCAGCUUGUUGGUGGGGUAAUGGCCUACCAAGGCUUCGACGGGUAGCCGGCCUGAGAGGGUGACCGGCCACACUGGGACUGAGACACGGCCCAGACUCCUACGGGAGGCAGCAGUGGGGAAUAUUGGACAAUGGGCGGAAGCCUGAUCCAGCAACGCCGCGUGAGGGAUGACGGCCUUCGGGUUGUAAACCUCUUUCAGCGGGGACGAAGCGCGAGUGACGGUACCCGCAGAAGAAGCACCGGCCAACUACGUGCCAGCCGCCGCAGUAAAAC
rnacentral:rRNA from 1 species